rfam:Pteropus alecto contig16468, whole genome shotgun sequence.
GGUUCCAUAGGGCGGCGGUCAGCACGUCUGUUUUACACGCAGAAGGUCCUGGGUUCGCGCCCCAGUGGAGCCA